UUUCGUUUUUUUUAAGCUGCUCGAUAGAUUUUUAAAGAUUUAUGUAUUUAUUGAGUUAUAUAUUACCUGUUGCUAAUAUAGUAUUGCCUAUUUUUUUACACUAUUUACAGCUUUUAACACUUUUUUUAAUAAAUGAAAAAUACACAUGAAAACCUUUUCUUAUUUGGACACCGUUAUUUUUGUUUCAUAUUUUAUCAAACUUGUAAUAAAUUUUAGUUUGACACUUCUGCUAUCUAAUAGAUAAAAGGAAAUGUAUCCUCUCAGUGCAACCUAAAUACUUAAUAUAAAAAAUAUACUGGUAUGCCAACAGGCGCGCGCCAAAAAGAAGCUUUUAAAUCAAGACAAACAGCUGUUCCACGGAUGUCCCAAGUUGGCCAUGAAAACACACACGCACACAGGGACGGACAGGAAAAAUGGUGAUUUCUAGGAUAUAAUCUACGCACCAUUCUGCUCGUUCUCUGUGCAUUUCUUAUCGGGCAUUAUUCACAACUUAACUCCCGAGAUCAAGGUGCAGCGACAGGUUAACUGAAAAGUGCACUGUUUUUUAGCGAAAAUUGGAAAUUGAGAUUAGCAGUCGCAGAGCGCCGCAUCUGGCGAAAUUGAGCGAGCAAA